UGGAGAAUACGUCCCACCUCAUUAGAGAGAAAAGAGUUCUAAAAUUAGAAAGUGCAUAUUCUUGUGAGACGGACUAAAAAAGGAAAGAGUGCAUAUUCUUGUGGGAAGGAUGAAAUAUAAUUUUUUGCAAAACGAAUGCAAAAAGGAAGUGGGACAAACUUUUUGGGACGGAGGGAGUACUUUUUUCCUCAUGGUGGUGGAAUACAUGAAUUGAUACUUUUGUAUGUGCUGAAUUUUCUAAUAACUAUAGGAAAAAUGCAGAUAAUAUCAUUCUGAAUGGUUGGGUCCUCAUUCUCUGUUAGUUGUCAUUCGUUACAAAGAAAUAUCUAAGAUUUGUAGAUGAUUUGUGAGUUUCAGUGGGAAGUGAGUUCUUAAUAUCAAAAUAUAUGCAUAUUGGAUAAUGGCAGCUUUUCUGAUAAAUAGGAUUUGAAUUGAUCAAUGAGAUCAGGUUUCUCUCGCUUCCUUUUCUUGUAAAUGUGAAUGUCUUGUGUCCAUUGUUUUAUGAUGACAUGAACCUUUGCACUUGAAUAUAUUUGCCAUUAUUAUUGCCUGGAAAUAUAUUUAUUUUAUUUUUGGUAAGUGGAUCUGCUGAGAUAGUAGUACUUUGUUGUGCAUUAUUGAAGUUUGUUUUAUCGUCAGCCAAUUAAAUCUUCAUUGUCAAGAUCGUCUAACUGAUAAUUUAGUCUAGUUUACUACUCUAACUUUGUUUUUGUGCAAUUUAAAGGGAAAUGGGUGAGGUCAGCUGUGUAGUUGCAGUUUGGAUGUAUGUUGAAGAGAAAUUAAUUUCUGUUAUCAUCAUUGGUAUUGAUGCUGUAUGUUAGUAUAUUGUCCUCUUCGGUUAACUUCGCAUCCUUUGAUGCUUUUACCUGUAUCUUGUACUGUAAUUUUGGUGGUUGACUUGAGGCUGUUCCAAAGGGAGGGUUCACAAUGUUUAAAUGUUGUAGUUCUAAAACUACAGCUGUCAUUAAUUCACAUACAUACAUACAUACAUACAUACACUUGUAUGUAUUGAUUUCUCUAAUCAAGUAGUGAAUGUUAAUAGCCAAUCACAUCUGGCCUGCAUCCGGUUAAAAAGAUAAAAGGAAAAAAGAAAGUUUUAUGAGGUGAUUAGUUAAGAAAUUGUCUUAAUAAUUUACAUUUGGAAGUAAUAGAUGCAUCAUGCAUAUCACAUCAUGGUAAGCAGAAAUGAUGAUUCUACAUAAAUGAUGUGCUUGUCUGUUAGUUGUGAGUUUUCGUGAUACAGAGUAGGAAUAGAAGGAUGAUUCUUAUUGAUGUAUACCUCAAAACUAUUUUGUCAAUUGAGAUGCAUUAUAAAGUCCACUAUUCACUGGGCAUUCAUUUCACUGUUGCACGUCUUGGGUUGCAUAUGUUGUGCCACAUUUUUAAAUUUUUAUAUUAGAAUAGUAUUUUGCAGAUGGAACAUGGGGUAUAGCGUGAGAUGAGGCAGCAGGGUUAGAGGUUUCGUGGAAAAGGGAAAGGAAGGAAAUAGAAUUGAAUAGGAGAACAUGCACCUCUUUAUUUAGGGAGGAUUAUGACUAAGGCAAGAUUGAUUGUGAAAAACAUAUAUAAAAAGCUAUAUGAUGAAGAAGAUUUAAAUAGAGAUAAAGAGUAAGAAAGGGUGGAUUUGCUAUUGAAUUCAAUUUGUAUUUAUCCUAUGACGUAAUAGGCUCAUUUUUCUCAACUGUCUCAAUUACUCUUGCAUUUAUUUGGUUUUAAUGAUCUCUCAAAAUCUAAUAUACUUCCCUUUUUUUUCAAUUCUCGAACUACCCCAACCUCAUUAUGAAAUUACACAGUUGCCCUUUUCAUAACUAACGUAUUUGACCUCAUAAUAAUAUCCUCACAUGCACAGCCGUGUGGGUUUGCAUCAAUGGCUUUGCUUAAUUGUAAUAUUGACAUUCAACUACUUGCUUUAGCUUAGCUACAUAUUUUCUUUGGCUAUUGAAUGCGCAUAAGCUUAAAAUUUGGUGGUAAUCUUGUCAUUGUUUCACAAUUUGACUAGGCUUUAUAGAUUUUAUUGCGUUGUGGUGGCUUGCUCUCAUUGGUUUCUGAGAAAUGACAGUGGCAAUGCAUGCUGAAAAAUUACCUAACAUUUUUAUAAGAAAAUCAGGAACAUGAAGAUAGGUUUCUUCUGCUAAAGAUGGAACAAAUCUCACCCACCAACAUCGCUGCCGCUAUAAUUAAGGUGAGAAACGGACUUAAAUAAACAAGGGAAAUAGCAGUAGUAAGGCUCAUGCUCCUUUGAAAUUACCUCCACCUACAACUGGAGCAGGAACAUGAAUCUAGAAAUUGCUGCUGCCUAUUUGGUUAUCAUAUUUGGGGUGUAUGGAUAUUUGUUUUCAUUUCAUCAAUAUUUUUGGUGGUAAGAGCUACUAGCAUGUCUUCUUUGUCUUCCUGGCAGCGGUGUCGUGGAUGACAUCAAGCAAAACAGUGCUCUUGCAUUUGGGGCAUCUGGGGUCCUCCUCCGAUAGCAUCACGUACAUGAGGCACCUAGGGCAGCCCACCAGCAUCAUCGAAGUGGCCUCCGGGCUGGUGGAGUACUGCAGCGUCUCGUUCAGCUCGGAAGACACACAUGAGCUCGGCGGAGACACGGUCAGUGAUCUGGUCGGGGACUCCACCCGCCUUGGUGGCGACAAGUUCAGCUUCAGAUCAAAAAAGGUCAUUGAUGCGAAAUUGAAGCGAAAAUCAGAUGGAAAGCAUGCCUCAGUAUCGGAGAGAGGUGAAAUUGCGAUUCAGAGGUGUCGGCAUUGAGGAAAUUGGUGAAGAUGGAGCGGCGGAGAGCGGAUGCGGCUCUCGCGGAGGUGGAGAGAGAGAGGUCGGCCUCUGCCACGGCCGCGGAGGAAGCGAUGGCGAUGAUUCAGCGGCUGCAGCGCGAGAAGAACUCGAUCGAGAUAGCAACCAAUCAGCAGUGAAAAAUCAUCCAAAUCUGAUUAAUUAUAUAAUUGAAGAGCUAUAUAAUUUAAAUUUCUCAGCGAUGGUGGAUGAUGCUUUUCCUGCACCUUAAUUACAUAUUCAUUAGCUGAUUAAUUAAUUACACUGUUGUUAUUUUUGUAAGUGUGAUGAUGAACCGAUGAUGAUCUUAGUGUAAAUCUGAUGAUAAUCAGAUAAUGGAAGUGUAAUAUUUUCAUUAUGGAAUGCAUCAGUUUGUUUGUCCUUUCUUUAA